GGAUGAAGAACGUAGCGAAAUGCGAUAAGUAAUGUGAAUUGCAGAAUUCAGUGAAUCAUCGAAUCUUUGAACGCACCUUGCACCCUUUGGUAUUCCGAAGGGUAUGCUCGUUUGAGUGUCAUUGUACUCUCACACUUCUAAUUCCUUUCGGGAUUGGGAGCGGUGGACUUGGGUGUUGCUGCUUUAGUUGUGGCUCACCUCAAAUAAGUUAGUGCAACUCUUGGUUGGACAUAGUACGGCGUGAUAAGUGUCUUCGCCGGCGCCUCUGUAAGGAGGGUGGCCGAUCGGGAGCUCUGUGCUUCAAACCGUCUUCGGACAAUCUUUGACAACUUGACCUCAAAUCGAGUAGGACUACCCGCUGAACUUAAGCAUAUCAAUAAGCGGAGGA
rnacentral:misc_RNA from 1 species